CCUCGAAAGUUGUGUCUAAAACGUGGCAUAAACUACAGCCAUAUAACCAAGAACCAUGGUUUCACAGUCGGAGAGUUUUCCUGAAGCGAAGGUGAAGAUGGGACCACCCACUCCAACCACAACAGAGCUUGAAGAGGAAAUCAGAAACUGCGAUUGCUGAUGGCAAGAGACAAAGUUGUUGGAAAGCUUGGAAAACCUCUCCAUUACAAAAGUGGCACAUUCCACAGGAUUAUUCUCAACUUCAUGAUCCAGGGAGGUAAUAUUACAUUUGGUGAUGGAAGAGGUGAGGAUCGGUCUAUGGAUAGAAGUUUGCUGACAAGAACAUUAAGAUGAAGCAUACUGGACCUGGCUCCUGUCAAUUGCAAAUGCUUGCCUUGAAACAAACCGGGCUUCUGUCAAUCAUUUUUGCUUAUUUUGUGUUGAUUAGUUUCAUUAUCAUUGCAGUAUGGUUGGUUGUUGUUUUGUUCAAGAUUAUUGAGAGAUUUCCCUUUCCUCUUUGUUGUUUUGCAGUCAUAAUUUUUCACUACUUGUCCUAAUAGCAGAGAAGUUAGUACAAAUGAAGUAUAUCUCUGAACCAGUGCUGUUUUGUGAUUGGCUAAAGUGCUCGCUGAAGCUGGAAUAUAUGUGUCUGGACUCGGAGCAGAUGGCGGAGUAUAACCCUUUAGAAGCUUUCGGCGUAGCAAAGAAAACUCCUGCGAGGGUGCUGGUGUAGCUUUGUGAUUGGUUGAAUCUGGGAUAUAGGUGUCUGGGCUUGGUGCAGAUGGGUGAGAAUAACCCUUAAGAAGCUCUCGGCGUAGCAAAGUUAAAGCACUAGCCAUGGAGACCUUUUCGUUGAUCCGGGUGUCAUGGGCAGUUGGAGAAUUGGUCACUGGCGCAGAUGUUGUAAUGAUCUUAGUAGCAAAGGCCUUUUCAUUGAUCCGGCUGUCGCCAGUGGUCGGAGAAAUGUUCAAGGCAACAGAUGUUGUAAUCAUGUCAGUAGCAAAGGCCUUUUCCUUGAUCUGGCUGUCGUGGGUGGUCGGAGAAUUGGGGAAGGCAACAGUUGUGGUAAAGAACUAAGAGCUUAACUGGUUAGGUGUAGCGGCUAAGCUUGAGUUCAUGUAGGAACAAAUGGCAAGUACUAUGAAAAGGGAUGCAACAAAGAAUGGUUUAGAAGAUAGGCUUUCCAUCUCUGUGUGUGAGUGUGGAGGGUAGUACUUUGUGUAGGGGUAAUGGAUGAAGGGUUAACAAUAUAGUAUAUAUUUAUAUAAACUUUGCAGGGGCCUUCAUUUGCUGAU